rnacentral:rRNA from 1 species
UGCCCGUUCUGAACAGCCAGCCGGUUUCUCUUGAUGAUCUUCACCGGUUGUCUCGGGUGACCGGCAAGUUUACUUUGAAAAAAUUAGAGUGCUCAAAGCAGGCGUGACGCCUGAAUAAUGGUGCAUGGAAUAAUGGAAUAGGACCUCGGUUCUAUUUUGUUGGUUUUCGGAACACGAGGUAAUGAUUAAGAGGGACAGACGGGGGCAUUCGUAUUGCGACGCUAGAGGUGAAAUUCUUGGACCGUCGCAAGACGAACUACUGCGAAAGCAUUUGCCAAGAAUGUUUCCAUUAAUCAAGAACGAAAGUUAGAGGUUCGAAGGCGAUCAGAUACCGCCCUAGUUCUAACCAUAAACGAUGCCAGCCAGCGAUCCGGCUGUGUUCCUCAAAUGACACGCCGGGCAGCUUCCGGGAAACCAAAGCUUUUGGGUUCCGGGGGAAGUAUGGUUGCAAAGCUGAAACUUAAAGGAAUUGACGGAAGGGCACCACCAGGAAUGGAGCCUGCGGCUUAAUUUGACUCAACACGGGAAAACUUACCCGGCCCGGACACAGGAAGGAUUGACAGAUUAAGAGCUCUUUCUUGAUUCUGUGGGUGGUGGUGCAUGGCCGUUCUUAGUUGGUGGAGCGAUUUGUCUGGUUAAUUCCGAUAACGAACGAGACUCUAGCCUACUAAAUAGACGUUCCGAUCAUCUCCGUCGGACGUUCUUCUUAGAGGGACAAGCGGCGUUUAGCCGCACGAGACAGAGCAAUAACAGGUCUGUGAUGCCCUUAGAUGUCCGGGGCCGCACGCGCGCUACAUUGAAGGAAUCAGCGUGUGCUUUCCCGGUCCGACAGGACUGGGUAACCCGUUGAACCUCCUUCGUGCUGGGGAUAGGAGCUUGUAAUUUUUCUCCUUGAACGAGGAAUUCCCAGUAAGCACGAGUCAUAAGCUCGUGUUGAUUACGUCCCUGCCCUUUGUACAUACCGCCCGUCGCUACUACCGAUUGAAUGAUUUAGUGAGGUCCUCGGACUGGGCCUCGGAACGGCCCUCAGGUCCCGCCCGCAUUGCCGGAAAAAAUGACCAAACUUGGAUCUUUUAAAGGAAGUAAAAGUCCUAACAAGGUUUCC